GAUGAACGCUGGCGGCGUGCCUAAUACAUGCAAGUAGAACGCUGAAGGAAGGAGCUUGCUCUUUCCGGAUGAGUUGCGAACGGGUGAGUAACGCGUAGGUAACCUGCCUGGUAGCGGGGGAUAACUAUUGGAAACGAUAGCCAAUACCGCAUAACAGUAGAUGUUGCAUGAUAUCUACUUAAAAGGUGCAAUUGCACCACUACCAGAUGGACCUGCGUUGUAUUAGCUAGUUGGUGAGGUAACGGCUCACCAAGGCGACGAUACAUAGCCGACCUGAGAGGGUGGUCGGCCACACUGGGACUGAGACACGGCCCAGACUCCUACGGGAGGCAGCAGGAGGGAAUCUUCGGCAAUGGACGGAAGUCUGGCCGAGCAACGCCGCGGGAGUGAAGAAGGUUUUCGGAUCGUAAAGCUCUGUUGUAAGAGAAGAACGAGUGUGAGAGUGGAAAGUUCACACUGUGACGGUAUCUUACCAGAAAGGGACGGCUAACUACGUG
rnacentral:rRNA from 1 species